GUGGAUAUAUCAAUAGAGCAUUUGAGCAGUCCCCCACCCAACCCACCCCGGCCCGUGUGCCACCGACGCCGGUACUUCUACGGAGGGUGCGUCAGUUGAAUGUUUGUAGAUUAACUAAACUUAGUGUGCAUUUUC